rnacentral:rRNA from 1 species
AACGAACGCUGGCGGCAUGCCUAACACAUGCAAGUCGAACGAGACCUUCGGGUCUAGUGGCGCACGGGUGCGUAACGCGUGGGAAUCUGCCCUUGGGUUCGGAAUAACAGUUGGAAACGACUGCUAAUACCGGAUGAUGACGUAAGUCCAAAGAUUUAUCGCCCAGGGAUGAGCCCGCGUAGGAUUAGCUAGUUGGUGGGGUAAAGGCCUACCAAGGCGACGAUCCUUAGCUGGUCUGAGAGGAUGAUCAGCCACACUGGGACUGAGACACGGCCCAGACUCCUACGGGAGGCAGCAGUGGGGAAUAUUGGACAAUGGGCGAAAGCCUGAUCCAGCAAUGCCGCGUGAGUGACGAAGGCCUUAGGGUUGUAAAGCUCUUUUACCCGGGAUGAUAAUGACAGUACCGGGAGAAUAAGCCCCGGCUAACUCCGUG